GCAGCACGGACUUCGGUCUGGUGGCGAGUGGCGAACGGGUGAGUAACAUAUCGGAACGUAUCCAAUAAUGGGGGAUAACUAAUCGAAAGGUUGGCUAAUACCGCAUACGCCCUACGGGGGAAAGCUAGGGACCUUCGGGCCUGGCGUUAAUGGAGCGGCCGAUAUCUGAUUAGCUAGUUGGUGGGGUAAAGGCCCACCAAGGCGACGAUCAGUAGCCGGUCUGAGAGGACGACCAGCCACACUGGAACUGAGACACGGUCCAGACUCCUACGGGAGGCAGCAGUGGGGAAUUUUGGACAAUGGGCGCAAGCCUGAUCCAGCCAUUCCGCGUGAGUGAAGAAGGCCUUCGGGUUGUAAAGCUCUUUCGCAAGGGAAGAAAACUUAGGCUCUAACAUAGCCUGAGGUUGACGGUACCUUGAUAAGAAGCACCGGCUAACUACGUGCCAGCAGCCGCGGUAAUACGUAGGGUGCGAGCGUUAAUCGGAAUUACUGGGCGUAAAGCGUGCGCAGGCGGUUUUGUAAGCCAGAUGUGAAAUCCCCGGGCUCAACCUGGGAAUGGCAUUUGGGACUGCAAGGCUGGAGUGUGGCAGAGGGGACUAGAAUUCCUGGUGUAGCAGUGAAAUGCGUAGAUAUCGGGAGGAACACCAGUGGCGAAGGCGGCUGCCUGGACCGGUUCUGACGCUGAGGCGCGAAAGCGUGGGGAGCAAACAGGAUUAGAUACCCAGGUAGUCCACGCUGUAAACGAUGGGCACUCGAUGCCGCGGGUAUUGACCCCUGCGGUGUCUUAGUUAACGCGUUAAG
rnacentral:rRNA from 1 species